GCCAGACUCCUACGGGAGGCAGCAGUGAGGAAUAUUGGUCAAUGGACGAGAGUCUGAACCAGCCAAGUAGCGUGAAGGAUGACUGCCCUAUGGGUUGUAAACUUCUUUUAUAUGGGAAUAAAAUGUUCCACGUGUGGGAUUUUGUAUGUACCAUAUGAAUAAGGAUCGGCUAACUCCGUGCCAGCAGCCGCGGUAAUACGGAGGAUCCGAGCGUUAUCCGGAUUUAUUGGGUUUAAAGGGAGCGUAGGUGGAUUGUUAAGUCAGUUGUGAAAGUUUGCGGCUCAACCGUAAAAUUGCAGUUGAAACUGGCAGUCUUGAGUACAGUAGAGGUGGGCGGAAUUCGUGGUGUAGCGGUGAAAUGCUUAGAUAUCAGGAGGAACAUCGGUGGCGUAAGCGCUUUACUGGGCCGUAAUUGACGCUGAGGAACGAAAGCCAGGGUAGCAAAUGGGAUUAGAUACCCUCGUAG
rnacentral:rRNA from 1 species